rnacentral:rRNA from 1 species
AGAACGAACGCUGGUAGCGUGGAUUAGGCAUGCAAGUCGAACGGGAUCGGGGAGGCAGCAAUGUUCCCCGUGAGAGUGGCGGAAGGGCGAGGAACACGUGGACAACCUGUCCGCGGGACGGGGGAAAACCCUGGGAAACCGGGGCUAAUACCCGAUGUGCCGCCUGCCGGCAUCGGCGGGACGGCAAAGGGGGCGCCGCAAGGGCUCCCGCCCGUGAGAGGGGUCCGCGCACCAUCAGCUUGUUGGCGGGUAACGGCCCACCAAGGCUUACGGUUAGCUGGUCUGAGAGGAUGGCCAGCCGCACUGGGACUGAGAUACUGCCCAGACUCCUACGGGAGGCUGCAGUCGAGGAUCAUUCGCAAUGGGGGAAACCCUGACGAUGCGACGCUGCGUGGAGGAUGAAGGCCUUCGGGUCGUAAACUCCUGUCAUGAGGGAAAAGGCGAGGGGGCCCAACACGUCCCUUAGUUGAUGGUACCUCAAGAGGAAGCGACGGCUAACUCUGUGCCAGCAGCAGC